CUUUCAGUUGUGAGGAAAAGUUAGUAGUUAAUACCUGCUAGCCGUGACGUUAACAACAGAAGAAGCACCGGCUAACUCCGUGCCAGCAGCCGCGGUAAUACGGAGGGUGCGAGCGUUAAUCGGAAUUACUGGGCGUAAAGCGCACGCAGGCGGUUUGUUAAGCUAGAUGUGAAAGCCCCGGGCUCAACCUGGGAUGGUCAUUUAGAACUGGCAGACUAGAGUCUUGGAGAGGGGAGUGGAAUUCCAGGUGUAGCGGUGAAAUGCGUAGAUAUCUGGAGGAACAUCAGUGGCGAAGGCGACUCCCUGGCCAAAGACUGACGCUCAUGUGCGAAAGUGUGGGUAGCGAACAGGAUUAGAUACCCUGGUAGUCCACACCGUAAACGCUGUCUACUAGCUGUGUGUGCCUUUAAGGCGUGCGUAGCGAAGCUAACGCGCUAAGUAGACCGCCUGGGGAGUACGGCCGCAAGGUUAAAACUCAAAUGAAUUGACGGGGGCCCGCACAAGCGGUGGAGCAUGUGGUUUAAUUCGAUGCAACGCGAAGAACCUUACCUACACUUGACAUGCUGAGAAGUUACUAGAGAUAGUUUCGUGCCUUCGGGA
rnacentral:rRNA from 1 species